GACCAAUGAGCAACGAAGAAGGAGAACGUCGGUGGCUCCCCUGCUCAAUCUCUCUGACGAGAACAACGGACAAGCGUUAGGGCUCCUUUGUACUGACGAGAGCUAUAAAGCUGAAAUUUCAUGCGAGCGAAGAAAAGCUGGCUUUUACCCCCUCUCAUCGAUUUUCGAUGAAAAUGGCUGAUUCAGCGAAAACACGCUAAAACUUCGAUUCAUUCGAACUUUCAGCUUUCAGCUGAAAGUUCACGGUCAAACACGGGGUCGAUAGAAUAUUAAUAUUCAGAAAAAAUGAAAAAUGCGAAAGAAAUAGAAGCAAUGGAUGAAGUAAGUAUAUAUAUAUAUAUUUAUUUACUUCAGCUUACAGCCAAGAAGUGGACUUGGUUUACAAUAGUACUUAACUCAUUCACUCCUGCAUACUUAUUCUAUUUCUCUCUCUUUCUUCCUUACGUAUCGUGCCUAGUGACUAGUUUAUAUUAUUUACAUUUCUUUUCCUCCUUUCUCCUGUACUCUCUCCUCUUUUUCUUUUUUUAAACCUCGCAGUCUGCAUUCUCUUUCUAUCCAAAGCUUCCUAAUAGUGUACCCUUUUUCCUUAUCUAAUUCGUCGCUCCAUAUCUUAUCUCUUAUCUCUUUGUUUUUGCCUAAUUUCUUAAACCAGUGUGAUGUUAUACUGCAUUCCUUUAUAUAAUGUUCAAGACUAUCCCAUCCCGUAUUACAAAAAACGCAAGUUCUUUCUUUUUCUUCUAGCCAGUAUUUGUUGUAUCUUUCUAGAUUACCGCAUCUCAGAUUCAUCAGCGCUCUGACCUUAUCCCCUGACGCAUCCUCUGGAUGAAGUAAGUAUAUACAUAUGUAUUAUAGUAACAUAAGUAUAUAUUUAUAGGUUAGAUAAAUUUCUUAUUUUUUCUCUGUACCUCUUAUUGUAUUUCGCUUCCCUAAUCCUACCUUCUUCCCAUUGUCUUUGUCUGUCUCCUUCUCUUUUUUCUACAAUAAUUCUUUUAUCAUAUUCCUUUCCUCCUUCGGCAUGCUAUCUACUGCAAUAAUACCCCAUCCAUUUCUAUUAUAUUAUCUAGAACCUUUAAGUGAUCCUUAUAGUCUCCUUUUCUAUUAAACGCAAAGCCAAGGUAACUGAAAAAUUGCACCUCUUCUAAUUUUUCAUAUUAAUAUUAUUAAUUUGUAUUUCUUAUAUUGUAGGAAACUGUAUCGAUACCGUACACCUGUGGUGUGUGCGAAACUACUUUUGAUAAAACAUCAGAAUUAUUGAAACAUCCUUGUUUGCUAGAUUAUAACAAGUGUCAAAUAGAUGCAAAUUUUUAUGUUUAUCCUGCACUCGAUGAUGGAAAAAUUCUACAUAAGAGUUUGGUGGAUAGUGCAGAGAUUAUUGAUGUUACGGAAACCAGCAAAGUCCCAAACCAAAAGACUGAUGCAAGUAAUUGGCGAAAUAUAAGAAUUAUAGAAGAGGAACGUUUAAUCGACGAAAUUUGUAAACGUCCGCCGUUAUGGAAUUUUAAACUUCCCCUUAUCGAAAGAAGCCUGCAAAUAAAAAAAACUGGGAAGUAACAGAAGCAAUGGAUGGUAAAAUGGACAUUAUAGCAAUUACAACAGCUGCGCGUCGCCUCUUAAUCUCUGCUGCAACUGUGGCUGUCACAAGUCUAUAUUCUUCCAUAUCUGUGAUGUUUAAUUGAUAAUUAUCCAUUUUUUAUAGUAAAAUGUUCCAAGAUUAAAAACACUCCUUUUACGUUCUUAACCUUCUCACCAAUUUAAUACAAGCUAAAAAGCCAGCGUUAAAAUGCUCCAUGAAAAAGUAGGAGCGAUAGCUUUAACUUUUUAACGCUGGAAUUUCAUUGCGGCGAAGUGGGGGUAAAAGCCAGCUUUUCUACGCUCACAUGAAAUUUCAGCUUAAGGGUGCAUCCCGAUGGAGAUAGAAACAGCGGAACGGAACAGUAAAGGCCUUUGCACGUAAAAAAGCAUUAACCGUAACCGUAAUUUUAGUCCAUAACCUACGGACCCUACGUAAUUUUAGUCCGUAACCUUAGGAAUUUUACUUGGGUUGCUCCAUCUGUCUGUACGUGUUGAAAACUACGAUUACGGACUAAAAUUACGGUUACGGUUAACGCUUUUUUACGUGCAGAGGCCUUAACGGAAAGGUAACUAGAUAAAAGGCUAAAGGCCUUCACACAUAAAAUUCCGUAAGGACGUAAAACGUAAGCGUAAGAAA